rnacentral:lncRNA from 1 species
CCAGUUGGACUGUCAUGUCAGCUUCAAUGGCAAAACUAACGGUUUAGGAACAUUUUCGGGCCAAAAUAUAGAGAGAAGGGAUAUUUUUGGCAUAAAAAACGGAGGAUAUUUUUGAGCUAUUCCGAAUAAUUUAAGGAUUUUUUUUCCUGAUUUAAAACGGAUUCAUUGUGGCCUAUUAUGGUGAUUGGCUUUCAAAUUUCCUAUUUUAAUAAUAUAUUUGUGGUUAUGCAGUAUCUCAAGGGGAAUAAUACACGGAACUUAGGCAUUGCUAAAAGUUAUGUUCAGACUUGAGCCUUUCUUGACACGUUACUGGAUUUUCAACAUUUCCGUAAACUUGUAAGAGAAAAAUGAUUAUGUUUGUACUUCAUCAAAAUGACUCACAUCCAUGUUGCGAAGCUAGCGAAAUGACUCACAAAUUUUCUAUUUCAGAAUAAAUGUUGAUUUUAUAUUUUAUAAAAAAAAAUUGGAAAAUAAAAUUUCCUAAAAAAAUAAUUUUCACAUAUGGAUUGCUUAGGUGGACGACCAUGUAAGCAAUUCUAACCCAGUUGGACUGUCAUGUCAGCUUCAAUGGCAAAACUAACGGUUUAGGAACAUUUUCGGGCCAAAAUAUCUAACCCAGUUGGACUGUCAUGUUAAUUUUCACAUAUGGAUUGCUUAGGUGGACGACCAUGUAAGCAAUUCUAACCCAGUUGGACUGUCAUGUUAGCUUUAUUGGCAAAACUAACAGUUUAGGAACAUUUUUGGGCCAAAAUAUAGA